UACGUAGGUGGCAAGCGUUGUCCGGAAUUAUUGGGCGUAAAGCGCGCGUAGGCGGCUUUGCAAGUCGGGUGUGAAAGCCCUCAGCUCAACUGAGGAAGUGCGCCCGAAACUGCAGAGCUUGAGUGCCGGAGAGGGUGGCGGAAUUCCCCAAGUAGAGGUGAAAUUCGUAGAUAUGGGGAGGAACACCGGUGGCGAAGGCGGCCACCUGGACGGUAACUGACGCUGAGGCGCGAAAGCGUGGGGAGCAAACAGG
rnacentral:rRNA from 1 species